CCUACGCCCAAUGCCGCGUUUCCAGACGCUACCUUUCACUCGCCAUCACAUCCUCGUCUUUGCCGUUCUCUAGGGCAUCAUAGAUUUCCAUCUCGUCUUUGUUCGCCAGCUCUCCCUAUCUUUGUCUUCAUUCUUGAUCUCAAUCUCUCUCGAUUGUUCUAGGGUUUCCGAUCUGAAUCCCUCGAUCCGAAGCUCCAGACGGCUAAUGGAAAUAAGGAUCUGAAGCUCAUCAGCCACUUAUUGAUCCUAAGCGCAAGGUACGCUCACUGAAUCUCAACCCAAAAAUUUCUCUCCUUUUUUGUGAGAUUUUUUGUAGGCUUUAUUUUGAUGUAUUCGUUUUUGGGUUUCAUUUUUGUUUUCUUUGUUCUUUUCCUUCGAUUCCAAUUUCGUGCCUGACUGAGUUGACUCGCUAAAAAGCCUAAAACCAUUCGGCCAAUGGGUUGAAACCCGAUAACCCGAUAACCCGAACCUUUUGUAUCGGGUUUUAGAUCCGGGUUUCGUAUAAGCUACGGACUGAACCACAUAAAGUAUUUAUAUAUAUAUAUAUAUAUGUUGAUCUCGGACAUUCACUCAUUCAUUCAUUCUCUCAUAAUUAAUAAUUAAAAUUAGGUACUUUUUAUUUAAAAAUAAUAACAUUUUUAAAUAAAAAAAUCUUUGAUAAAGCUACGGUAAGGAAAGAAGAAAAAAAGAAAAAGGAAUCUUUCUGUCAUUUUGUACGAGCGACCCUAUAAUUAUGGCCAAAUGGUGAGUGAAAAAUGAAUAUGUGUGGGUUUUGCACGUGAUUCUGAUGAUGUGUGUGAAUGAUGGGGAUAGGUUCAUUUAUUGAGUCUGGUCCCCAGCGCCUGAUAUGAUCAUUGUAUUUCUGUAUUUUCUUGAAGUCAAAAUAGCAGAGAUGGACCAUUAACACUGUUUUUUUUUUUUU